rnacentral:rRNA from 1 species
GUGGGGAAUUUUGGACAAUGGGCGAAAGCCUGAUCCAGCAAUGCCGCGUGCAGGAAGAAGGCCUUCGGGUUGUAAACUGCUUUUGUACGGAACGAAACGGUCCUGGUUAAUACCUGGGGCUAAUGACGGUACCGUAAGAAUAAGCACCGGCUAACUACGUGCCAGCAGCCGCGGUAAUACGUAGGGUGCAAGCGUUAAUCGGAAUUACUGGGCGUAAAGCGUGCGCAGGCGGUUUUGUAAGACAGGCGUGAAAUCCCCGGGCUCAACCUGGGAAUUGCGCUUGUGACUGCAAGGCUGGAGUGCGGCAGAGGGGGAUGGAAUUCCGCGUGUAGCAGUGAAAUGCGUAGAUAUGCGGAGGAACACCGAUGGCGAAGGCAAUCCCCUGGGCCUGCACUGACGCUCAUGCACGAAAGCGUGGGGAGCAAACAGGAUUAGAAACCCGAGUAGUCC